GACAGAGGGUGCAAACGUUGUUCGGAAUUACUGGGCGUAAAGGGCGCGUAGGCGGUCUUGUAAGUCUCGUGUGAAAUCCCUCGGCUUAACUGAGGAACUGCACGGGAUACUGCAUGACUUGAGAUCGGGAGAGGGAAGCGGAAUUCCGGGUGUAGCGGUGAAAUGCGUAGAUAUCCGGAGGAACACCGGUGGCGAAGGCGGCUUCCUGGACCGACACUGACGCUGAGGCGCGAAAGCUAGGGGAGCAAACGGG
rnacentral:rRNA from 1 species